UCCGUAGGCGGGCAGCUAAGUCAGUGGUGAAAGUCUGCAGCUCAACUGUAGAAUUGCCAUUGAUACUGGUUGUCUUGAAUUAUUAUGAAGUGGUUAGAAUAUGUAGUGUAGCGGUGAAAUGCAUAGAUAUUACAUAGAAUACCAAUUGCGAAGGCAGAUCACUAAUAAUAUAUUGACGCUGAUGGACGGAAGCGUGGGGAGCGAACAGGAUUAGAUACCCUGGUAGUCC
rnacentral:rRNA from 1 species